GACGAACCGUGCGAACGUUGUUCGGAUUCACUGGGCUUAAAGGGCGCGUAGGCGGCUUGCCAAGUCAGGGGUGAAAUCUUUCGGCUCAACCGGAAAAGUGCUUCUGAUACUGGCGGGCUGGAGGAGGGUAGGGGCAGAUGGAACUUCCGGUGGAGCGGUGAAAUGCGUAGAUAUCGGAAGGAACGCCGGUGGCGAAAGCGAUCUGCUGGACCCUUUCUGACGCUGAGGCGCGAAAGCGUGGGGAGCGAACAGG
rnacentral:rRNA from 1 species